rnacentral:rRNA from 1 species
UACGUAGGGGGCUAGCGUUAUCCGGAUUUACUGGGCGUAAAGGGCGCGUAGGCGGCCAUUUAAGUCAGACGUGAAAUCCCCCGGCUUAACCGGGGCAUUGCGUCUGAUACUGGGUGGCUCGAGUCCGGGAGAGGAUGGCGGAAUUCCCAGUGUAGAGGUGAAAUUCGUAGAUAUUGGGAAGAACACCGGUGGCGAAGGCGGCCAUCUGGACCGGUACUGACGCUAAUGCGCGAAAGCGUGGGGAGCAAACAGG